CCAUCAUUAAAAAUAUUCUAGGAAGUUCCAAGAUGAUUGAACAAAAUAUAAAUAGGACUAGUUAGGAUCUUUUGGACCUUUGGUCAAAUAUGACUUUGGAUCUUCUCUCUUAGUAAAGUUUGAUUUUGCAUCUUUCUAUUCAGUUUGUUCUAUUCUAUUUCUAUUUGCUCAAUUUUUUCUUUCAUGUCUUAUUCUAUUUAGUUCUAUUUAGUUUUGUUUUGAUUCAUUUUGUCCUACUUUGUGAUGAGGUUUUAUACUAUGGAUUCUUAGAUUGUAGAGAUAGACUGA
rnacentral:lncRNA from 1 species